GGUAAGAUGGCCGAGUAGUAGGUGGCAGGUUGUAGCCCUGUGCAGGCGGGUAAAUGACCCGCUCUUACCAA
rnacentral:tRNA from 1 species